GUUGGUGGGGGUAAUGGCCCUACCAAGGCGACGACGGGUAGCCGGCUGAGAGGGCGACCGGCCACACUGGGACUGAGACACGGCCCAGACUCCUACGGGAGGCAGCAGUGGGGAAUAUUGCACAAUGGGCGAAAGCCUGAUGCAGCGACGCCGCGUGAGGGAUGACGGCCUUCGGGUUGUAAACCUCUUUCAGUAGGGACGAAGCGCAAGUGACGGUACCUACAGAAGAAGCACCGGCCAACUACGUGCCAGCAGCCGCGGUAAUACGUAGGGUGCGAGCGUUGUCCGGAUUUACUGGGCGUAAAGAGCUCGUAGGCGGUUUGUCACGUCGUCUGUGAAAACCCGAGGCUUAACCUCGGGCCUGCAGGCGAUACGGGCAGACUUGAGUACUGUAGGGGAGACUGGAAUUCCUGGUGUAGCGGUGGAAUGCGCAGAUAUCAGGAGGAACACCGGUGGCGAAGGCGGGUCUCUGGGCCGUAACUGACGCUGAGGAGCGAAAGCGUGGGUAGCGAACAGGAUUAGAUACCCUGGUAGUCCACGCCGUAAACGGUGGGCACUAGGUGUGG
rnacentral:rRNA from 1 species